AACGCUGGCGGCCGUGCUUAACACAUGCAAGUCGAACGAAAAGACGGAAAGAGCUUGCUCUUUUCAGAAUUGAGUGGCAAACGGGUGAGUAACACGUAAACAACCUGCCUUCAGGAUGGGGACAACAGACGGAAACGACUGCUAAUACCGAAUAAGUUCCAAGAGCCGCAUGGCCCAUGGAAGAAAAGGUGGCCUCUACCUGUAAGCUAUCGCCUGAAGAGGGGUUUGCGUCUGAUUAGCUGGUUGGAGGGGUAACGGCCCACCAAGGCGACGAUCAGUAGCCGGUCUGAGAGGAUGAACGGCCACACUGGAACUGAGACACGGUCCAGACUCCUACGGGAGGCAGCAGUGGGAAAUCUUCCGCAAUGGGCGAAAGCCUGACGGAGCAACGCCGCGUGAGUGAUGACGGCCUUCGGGUUGUAAAACUCUGUGAUCCGGGACGAAAAGGCAGAGUGCGAAGAAC
rnacentral:rRNA from 1 species